rnacentral:rRNA from 1 species
AGCAGUCGCCACGGUAAUACGUAGGGUGCGAGCGUUAAUCGGAAUUACUGGGCGUAAAGCGUGCGCAGGCGGUUUUGUAAGACAGGCGUGAAAUCCCUGGGCUCAACCUGGGAAUGGCGCUUGUGACUGCAAAGCUAGAGUGCGGCAGAGGGGGAUGGAAUUCCGCGUGUAGCAGUGAAAUGCGUAGAUAUGCGGAGGAACACCGAUGGCGAAGGCAAUCCCCUGGGCCUGCACUGACGCUCAUGCACGAAAGCGUGGGGAGCAAACAGGAUUAGAUACCCCUGUAGUCCCUGUCUCUUAUAC